UGAGCAGUAACUCAGUGGCAGAGCUUCCACUUUAUAUGCCGAAAGACCCGGGUUCGAUUCCCGGCUGCUUCC
rnacentral:tRNA from 1 species